UUCUUCAGGGCUCGAGGAUUAAUUAUGUUAAGGACCUUUUGCUGCAUGCAAGCAUGACCGCUCCUCCAACUUUGAGUACAAUAUAAGACUCUUACCUGCACAUCGUUCUCCUGUUUCCUACAUCUUGGGGUCACAACGACCGCAGCCGUGCGAGUUUCUCACAGAUACGCUGAAAUAAGACUGGAGUGCAGGAGUGCCACUUGCAGAUCGCAGUGCCCUGGGAUCCCUAAAAAGGGAAGGAGUCUCACUCUUGAUUUCUGGCAGCUGGAGGAGAAGUGAGGUCUAAAUUAGGCAUGCUUUCAUUGACUUCCAAUUCCCUGAGUCCCACCAUCCCUAAAGCCCAGCAGAGGAGGGAAGGCCGCGCGGUGCUUUUAACCUCUGAUGUUCUGCUUCUGGUGAGUCAAAUGAGAUGAUGAGCCGAGAGGAACCUUGAGAUGAUGUCUCCAGAUAACAUUGUGAGCAGACAGGAAAAACCCAACUAAUCAAUCUGUUCUGCGCUUUGCAUUUUCGCCUCAAUACAGCCUCUACACAGAGUAAUCAAUGCUACUGGCUCCUGGAUCUUUAAAGUACUUUACUGGCUCUGCAGUAAUGGCACUUAAUGUCAUUUUCCUCGCUUGAACCUCUUUUAAAAGCAAUGACUCUGAUUUACAUGUGUUUUAAAGAAACAUAAACACA